ensembl:lncRNA
AGCAGAUUUCAGGCGUUCUUUUAACCGCCCCGAUGCCGAAACCAACAGAAAACACAAGAAAGUGAUAUCCACCAAUGAAGAGAGACACCAAAAUACUUAACAAAACACUAGCGAAGAAAGUCAAAUCCAACCGUUGCCGAGUGGGUUUAACCCAGGAAUACAAGCAUUUGGUUAGAGGCGCGUCAAGUGAGCCAUCUGAACAGCAGACAGCUUCCUGGGUCUUCAUGGUCAUUUUAUGCAGUCUAGAGAGACAGAUCAAACUUACUUCUGAAGAGAACAGGGUAGCAGCAGAUUCCAGAGAGCUACUGACUUUGGUGCCUCCUUUUCAAUGAGACUGCCUUGGGUUUGUGAGGAUACCUAGUAUUUCAUGGUAUGAGUCCAAUCCAGAACUUUCUCCAAGUAAAGUAAAUGCCAC